rnacentral:sRNA from 1 species
UCUCUGACCUGAGAGGUUCUGUAGUGAUUAUUUUUGCUGCCCUUUCUCUAGGCUGCUCUUAAAAUGGGGCAGUGAAUUUUAUAAAUCAGAACUAAAUAUGUUCUAAAGCAUCUUGCUAUAAUGCCUUAGCACCGCGAAAAAAUACUGGUGUUUCUAAAAUAAUUUAGAGUUACAAAUAUAGCAACUGAAAAAAAUCUUCAAAAACAUUUUCUGUUUCCACUAAUAACAUUAGUUUGAGAUGUUUAGAAAGCAUAAAGGAUUAAACAUGAUUUUGUUUUAGUUGUUGAUUUUUAGAAUGAGGGCUUUGUGUUUCCACUGAGGGAUUUGGGUGCAUUUGGAAAGAUGUUAAUGUUAUUCUCAUAACGACUUUUGGGUAAUGUCAAUAAGAUAACAAAUUGUUAUGUUUAGUUUAAACUCAUGAUACUUAAGCACUGUUUACUCAUUGUCAUUAACUAUUCCAACUUUAAAUUAAAAAUGCUUGCCUUAAUUAAAGCUGUAUUCAGACAACUUCCUAUGGUUAUCCCUGCGUUGUAUUUCUUGUGCUUCUUGAAGGAGGAUUACAAUAAAGAAACCCUCCUUUUAUA